rnacentral:rRNA from 1 species
CCUACGGGAGGCAGCAGUGAGGAAUAUUGGUCAAUGGGCGUAAGCCUGAACCAGCCAAGUCGCGUGAGGGAUGAAGGUUCUAUGGAUCGUAAACCUCUUUUAUAAGGGAAUAAAGUGUGGGACGUGUCCUAUUUUGUAUGUACCUUAUGAAUAAGGAUCGGCUAACUCCGUGCCAGCAGCCGCGGUAAUACGGAGGAUCCGAGCGUUAUCCGGAUUUAUUGGGUUUAAAGGGUGCGUAGGCGGCAUUUUAAGUCAGCGGUGAAAUUCGGUGGCUCAACCAUCGAAGUGCCGUUGAAACUGGGGGGCUUGAGUAUGUUAGAGGCAGGCGGAAUGCGUGGUGUAGCGGUGAAAUGCUUAGAUAUCACGCAGAACCCCGAUUGCGAAGGCAGCCUGCCAAGCCAUGACUGACGCUGAUGCACGAAAGCGUGGGGAUCGAACAGGAUUAGAUACCCCGGUAGUC